AACCGGGCGACCUACCCAUGAGCAGGAUGAAGCGAAAGUAAAAUUUCGUGGAGGUCCGAACCCACGAGCGUUGAAAAGCUCGGGGAUGACUUGUGGGUAGCGGUGAAAUUCCAAUCGAGCCCGGAGAUAGCUGGUUCUCCCCGAAAUAGCUUUAGGGCUAGCCUCAAGGUGAGAGAUACGGAGGUAGAGCACUGAAUGUCCUAGGGGGUAUUGCACCUACCGAAGACUAUCAAACUCCGAAUGCCGUCAUCUUAUACUUGGGAGUCAGACUGUGGGUGAUAAGAUUCAUAGUCGAAAGGGCAACAGCCCAGAUCGUCAGCUAAGGUCCCUAAAUGUAAGUUAAGUGGUAAAGGAUGUGGGAUUGCACAGACAACCAGGAUGUUGGCUUAGAAGCAGCCACUCAUUCAAAGAGUGCGUAAUAGCUCACUGGUCGAGUGAUCCUGCGCCGAAGAUUUCCGGGGCUAAAACUUACUACCGAAGCUACGGCAUCAGUAAUGAUGGGUAGGGGAGCUUCCCAUACGGGUUGAAGCAUGACCGUAAGGACAUGUGGACAGUAUGGGAGUGAGAAUGUUGGCAUGAGUAGCGAGAUGUGGGUGAGAAUCCCACAGGCCGUAAACCCAAGGUUUCCAGGGGAAGGUUCGUCCGCCCUGGGUUAGUCGGGACCUAAGCUGAGGCCGAAAGGCGUAGGUGAUGGACAACAGGUUGAU
rnacentral:rRNA from 1 species